UACAGAGGGGGCAAGCGUUGUUCGGAAUUACUGGGCGUAAAGGGCGCGUAGGCGGCCUCUUAAGUCGCACGUGAAAUCCCCGGGCUCAACCCGGGAACUGCGUCCGAUACUGGGAGGCUUGAAUCCGGGAGAGGGAUGUGGAAUUCCAGGUGUAGCGGUGAAAUGCGUAGAUAUCUGGAGGAACACCGGUGGCGAAGGCGGCAUCCUGGACCGGUAUUGACGCUGAGGCGCGAAAGCUAGGGGAGCAAACGGG
rnacentral:rRNA from 1 species